CAACGAGGGCUUGACUGUCUCCUUUUUCAAGUCAAUGAAAUUGAUCUCCCCGUGCAGAAGCGGGGAUAAAACAAUAAGACGAGAAGACCCUAUGGAGCUUUAGACGCCUGAGUAAGUCACGUUAAACACCCCCGGACACGGGGCUAAACCAAAUGAAAAUUACUCCAUGUCUUUGGUUGGGGCGACCGCGGGGAACCAAAAAACCCCCACGUGGACUGGAAUUAUGCAAUUCCACAACUAAGAGCCCCCGCUCUAGUUAACAGUAUCACUGACCAAUUAAGAUCCGGCAGAGCCGAUCAACGAACCGAGUUACCCUAGGGAUAACAGCGCAAUCCCCUUUUAGAGCCCAUAUCGACAAGGGGGUUUACGACCUCGAUGUUGGAUCAGGACAUCCUAAUGGUGCAGCCGCUAUUAAGGGUUCGUUUGUUCAACGAUUAAAGUCCU
rnacentral:rRNA from 1 species